rnacentral:rRNA from 1 species
UACGUAGGGGCUAGCGUUAUCCGGAAUUACUGGGCGUAAAGGGUGCGUAGGUGGUUUCUUAAGUCAGAGGUGAAAGGCUACGGCUCAACCGUAGUAAGCCUUUGAAACUGGGAAACUUGAGUGCAGGAGAGGAGAGUGGAAUUCCUAGUGUAGCGGUGAAAUGCGUAGAUAUCGGGAGGAACACCAGUGGCGAAGGCGGCUUCCUGGCCCAAUACUGACACUCAUGUGCGACAGCGUGGGGAGCAAACAGGAUUAGAUACCCGCGUAGUCCCUGAG